AGCAGCCGCGGUAAUUCCAGCUCCAAUAGCGUAUAUUAAAGUUGUUGCAGUUAAAAAGCUCGUAGUUGAAUUUCGGGAUCAAUUAAUUGGUCGUGCCUCUGGUACGUACUGAUUUUAUUGGUUUCUCCCUUCUGACGAACCAUGAUGUCAUUAAUUUGGUGUCGUGGAGAAUCAGGACUGUUACUUUGAAAAAAUUAGAGUGUUUAAAGCAAGCUAACGCUUGAAUACAUUAGCAUGGAAUAAUGAAAUAGGACGUUUGAUCCUAUUUUGUUGGUUUCUAGGAUCGACGUAAUGAUUAAUAGGGAUAGUUGGGGGCAUUAGUAUUCAAUUGUCAGAGGUGAAAUUCUUGGAUUUAUUGAAGACUAACUACUGCGAAAGCAUUUGCCAAGGAUGUUUUCAUUAAUCAAGAACGAAAGUUAGGGGAUCGAAGACGAUCAGAUACCGUCGUAGUCUUAACCAUAAACUAUGCCGACUAGGGAUCGGAUGAUGUUAAUUUUUUAAUGACUCAUUCGGCG
rnacentral:rRNA from 1 species